rnacentral:lncRNA from 1 species
UCGCCUUCAAGAGUUGAUUGAUCCUGCUGAUAUUCCACUGAUUCUCGGGAUUCGGCCAAGUCGCACCUACUUGAGUGAUGGCUUUAGCUGGUCGUAUACCAAAUCCGGAAACUAUUCUGUUAAAUCAGGAUACUGGGCCGCGCGAGAGUUAUCUCGUCCUACAUGUGACCCCUCUUUUCAGGGACCUGGUGUUUCGGCACUUCAGGCACA